UGAGCGGUGUAUCGACCACAGAAUCAAUCUUACGCCUUUUACUUAAAGAUCGCCGUUGUUGAUGCACGCCAACGCUCUUAGUCCAAAUUUUUCUCCUUCCCCUUUCUCCCUCUCCGGAGUGA
rnacentral:snRNA from 1 species